rnacentral:rRNA from 1 species
CCUACGGGUGGCACCAGUGGGGAAUAUUGCACAAUGGGCGCAAGCCUGAUGCAGCCAUGCCGCGUGUAUGAAGAAGGCCUUCGGGUUGUAAUGUACUUUCAGCGGGGAGGAAGGUGUUGUGGUUAACAACCGCAGCAAUUGACGUUACCCGCAGAAGAAGCACCGGCUAACUCCGUGCCAGCAGCCGCGGUAAUACGGAGGGUGCAAGCGUUAAUCGGAAUUACUGGGCGUAAAGCGCACACAGGCGGUCUGUCAAGUCGGAUGUGAAAUCCCCGGGCUCAACCUGGGAACUGCGUUCGAAACUGGCAGGCUAGAGUCUUGUAGAGGGGGGUAGAAUUCCAGGUGUAGCGGUGAAAUGCGUAGAGAUCUGGAGGAAUACCGGAGGCGAAGGCGGCCCCCUGGACAAAGACUGACGCUCAGGUGCGAAAGCGUGGGGAGCAAACAGGAUUAGAUACCCGCGUAGUC